AGGAUAGAUGAAGUGCUUACUGCAUUUUUUCUUACACAUGUGUUUUUCUUUUUUUGAAAACUUUGCUUUGGUAGGCCUUCUAUAUGGGGCCUGCCAGAGAUUAAACUCAACCAAAUUUUAUUUAAUGUCAACCGAUUAUUUAAUAGUCAAAACUUUCAACAACGGAUCUCUUGGUUCUCGCAUCGAUGAAGAACGCAGCGAAAUGCGAUAAGUAAUAUGAAUUGCAGAUAUUCGUGAAUCAUCGAAUCUUUGAACGCACAUUGCGCCCUUUGGUAUUCCAAAGGGCAUGCCUGUUUGAGCGUCAUUUCUCCCUCAAACCCUCGGGUUUGGUGUUGAGCGAUACGCUGGGUUUGCUUGAAAGAAAGGCGGAGUAUAAACUAAUGGAUAGGUUUUUUCCACUCAUUGGUACAAACUCCAAAACUUCUUCCAAAUUCGACCUCAAAUCAGGUAGGACUACCCGCUGAACUUAAGCAUAUCAAAAGCGGAGGA
rnacentral:rRNA from 1 species